rnacentral:rRNA from 1 species
AACGAACGCUGGCGGCAGGCCUAACACAUGCAAGUCGAACGAACCUUUUAGGUGAGUGGCGCACGGGUGCGUAACGCGUGGGAAUAUACCCUUGAGUAAGGAAUAACGUCUGGAAACGGGCGCUAAUACCUUAUAAUGACUUCGGUCCAAAGAUUUAUCGCUCAAGGAUUAGCCCGCGUCUGAUUAGCUAGUUGGUGAGGUAACGGCUCACCAAGGCGAUGAUCAGUAGCUGGUCUGAGAGGAUGAUCAGCCACACUGGAACUGAGACACGGUCCAG